rnacentral:tRNA from 1 species
CAGGGAGACAACAACUGAAUGUGAUGUCUGAAGUAUUUAUCUCAGGCCAUAUUCCUGUCACCUUAGGUCGAUCGGUACCUCAGAUUUAAAGACAAGAUAGGCUGAGUAAAUCUCGGUUUUAUUUUGUCUUAGAUAUCAGUUCCUAAACUUGUCUAGGUCACACCCCAUAAGGGUUACUCCUGGGCCAUUAGCUCAGGUGGUUAGAGCGCACCCCUGAUAAGGGUGAGGUCCCUGGUUCAAGUCCAGGAUGGCCCAUUCGGUUUUGGGGGUAUAGCUCAGUUGGUAGAGCGCCUGCUUUGCAAGCAGGAUGUCAGCGGUUCGAGUCCGCUUACCUCCACUGACCAACACCCCCCCCUUAAAUGAUCCUUAUUGAGAGAACCAUUUUGAGAUGUGAUUUAGACCAAUUCCGCUGAAAGAACCUAGCUUCUUUUCAUUCCAAAUCUAAAUAGAAUUAUUUAGAGGAGGUUGCUAAGACGCUGGGCUCAUUUGGGUUCGAGAGAAUUCCAAAGAUGUUCGGCAGAACCUUGACAACUGCAUAGGUGAGUCUGGAAAAAAUAAAGCAUCUCAUGGAUGACUUAUUCUUUUCUUUUGAAGUGAACUGUUAAUUCAGGGACUAAAAAUAGAGAAAAGAGUUAUGUUCAAUUCUUGAGCAAGAGCUGAGACUCUAUAUCGUUCUUUUAAUACCAAUAGGUGUUAAGAGUUUGAUUGGUCAAUUGAAUUAUCUUUUUGAUAAUUAGAUUUCAGUAAUUACUGGGAACUAUGUGUCUUUGAGAUAUAUCAAUUACUAAGAAUGCGUUUCAACAACGUUAAGCGUUAUAGAGGUUAUAU